rnacentral:rRNA from 1 species
UGGGGAAUAUUGCACAAUGGGCGCAAGCCUGAUGCAGCCAUGCCGCGUGUAUGAAGAAGGCCUUCGGGUUGUAAAGUACUUUCAGUCGGGAGGAAGGUGUCAAGGUUAAUAACCUUGGCAAUUGACGUUACCGACAGAAGAAGCACCGGCUAACUCCGUGCCAGCAGCCGCGGUAAUACGGAGGGUGCAAGCGUUAAUCGGAAUUACUGGGCGUAAAGCGCACGCAGGCGGUUGAUUGAGUCAGAUGUGAAAUCCCCGGGCUUAACCCGGGAAUUGCAUCUGAUACUGGUCAGCUAGAGUCUUGAAGAGGGGGGUAGAAUUCCAUGUGUAGCGGUGAAAUGCGUAGAGAUGUGGAGGAAUACCGGUGGCGAAGGCGGCCCCCUGGACAAAGACUGACGCUCAGGUGCGAAAGCGUGGGGAGCAAACAGG